rnacentral:rRNA from 1 species
AAACAUGGCUCUUUGUAUUUUAUCUUAUAAAGAGUCAGGCCUGCCCAGUGAAUAAUUUAACGGCCGCGGUACUCUGACCGUGCAAAGGUAGCAUAAUCAUUUGCCUUAUAAUUGAAGGCUAGUAUGAAUGGUUUAACGAAAGCAACACUGUCUCCUUUUUAUUUUCAAGAACUUAACCUUUAGGUGAAGAGGCCUAAAUUUAAUUGAAGGACAAGAAGACCCUGUCGAGCUUAAAAGACACUGUAGAAGUUUAUAUAUUUUUAAAUAAAUUUUCUAUCAAGCUUUUUAGUUGGGGCGACUAAGGAACAAAAAAAGCUUCUUAUAAUAAAUAAACAAUCAGGUUUUGAUCCGGUAAUAGCCGAUCUAGGGAAUUAGUUACCGCAGGGAUAACAGCAUAAUCUCUCUUGAGAGACCUAAUCGAAAGAGGGGGUUGUGACCUCGAUGUUGGACUAGAAUAUCCUAAAGAUGCAGAAGUCUUUAAGGGUCGGUCUGUUCGACCGUUAAAAUUUUACGUGAUC